AUGCUGGAAUCCAUGGAGGAAGAAGAGAAAGAGUGGAGGUUUCAGGAAGUGGGGGAGAGAGUGUCAUUGUGUCGUAUCACAUCCUCCAACUCAGCACCUGCAGUCGCUCCCAGCUGCAGCAGUGCAAGCAGCAGGGUUUUUGUACGGCCACUAAACCUGUUUGUAUCACUGUGGUGCACUUUCGGUGGAGGAACUAAACUGUCUGUGGGCCGCCUCACCCAGCCCAGUGUGACGGUGUUGCCCCCCUCCAGUGUGGAGCUGCAGCAGGAGAAGGUCACACUCGUGUGUGUGGCCUACAAGGGCUUCCCCUCCGACUGGAGGCUGAGCUGGAAGGUUGAUGGGAGCAGCUGGAGCUCGGGGGAGAGCCACAGCACCGCAGUUCUGCAGGCGGACGGCCUCUACAGCUGGAGCAGCACGCUGAGCCUCCACCCGGAGCAGUGGAAGAACAAGGUGGUGACCUGUGAGGCCUCCAAGGACAACCAACCACCUGUGGUGAGCACAGUGAACACAGAGCAGUGCUGAGAGCUGUGAGCUCACACACACGUUACUCAGCUCACCUUCUACUGCUUCACUGUGUGUUCCAUGUGGCCUUUACUGCUCAAAUGUCCCACUUUCAUCAUUUCAUCUGAGUUAUUGACAUGUGAGCUCACACACUCCUCACUUUAACUCAGCUCUUCUUCUCAUCACCUAAAUAUGUGUUAAGUGUGUGUAUCACUGCAAUGUCCUGCUUUGAAUUAUUAAUAAAAGCCUUUUGAAUCAGUAAA